CGCCGUGGCGGGAGCGGCGCCUCAGGGGGCGCCGGGGCCGCAGCGGAGCUGAGGGGGAGCAGCGCCUGCGGAGCUGGAGGAGCCCGAGGGGGCUGAGGGAUCCCAGGCAAUCUGAAGGAGCUGGGGGCUGAGAACUGGAAUUGCCGGUGCUGGAGGAACGGCGUCUGCUACUGCUUUCAACAUUCCAGACUGUGGUGGAUUGAUUCAGUGCCCCAGCAUACAAGUAUUUAUCAUCUUUGGAGAAGCAGGCACUGCAAAGGCCUUUCAGGAGAGAUGUGGGCUGAAAAUGGAUGGUUGGCAUUAGAUUGUUAUGCUGACCCUGUCCAGCAGCCUGGAGAACACAAAGCUCUAUUCCAGAGUUUAGAGGUGUACAGGAAAACCUGUGUUUCCUCAGGAUCAGAGCUGUGUGGUGGCCCAGCUCCUGCAGAAGCUGCCCUGGCUCCUCAAUGAUCUGUCCUCAGCACUGAAGAUUCCCUAAAACCUGGUGAUCUGUAACAUCAGUGAACUGCUCACUAAAUUG